rnacentral:rRNA from 1 species
AAUUUGUGACAAUGGGGGAAACCCUGAUCCAGCCAUCCUGCGUGUAUGAUGAAGGCCUUCGGGUUGUCAAGUACUUUUGGCAGAGAAGAAACGGUACCUCCUAUGACGAGGUACUGCUGACGGUAUCUGCAGAUUAAGCACCGGCUAACUACGUUCCAGCAGCCGCGGUAAUACGUAGGGUGCAAGCGUUAAUCGGAAUUACUGGGCGUAAAGCGUGUGUAGGCGGUUCGGAAAGAAAGAUGUGAAAACCCAGGGCUCAACCUUGGAACUGCAUUUUUAACUGCCGAGCUAGAGUAUGUCAGAGGGGGGUAGAAUUCCACGUGUAGCAGUGAAAUGCGUAGAUAUGUGGAGGAAUACCGAUGGCGAAGGCAGCCCCCUGGGAUAAUACUGACGCUCAGACACGAAAGCGUGGGGAGCAAACA